rnacentral:rRNA from 1 species
CCCUUAGAUGUCCUGGGCAGCACGCGUGCUACAAUGAUGCAUUCAACGAGUCUUGCCUUAACCGAAAGGUUCGGGUAAACUUUUGAAAUUGCAUCUUGUCGGGGCUUGAUCAUUGUAAUUUUUGAUCACAAACAAGGAAUUCCUUGUAAAUGUGAGUCAUCAACUUGCAUUGAAUACGUCCCUGCCCUUUGUACACACCGCCCGUCGCUUCUACCGAUGAAUGAUCCGGUGAACACUCUGGACUUGUUGUCUGUCGGAGUAAUCCAAAGACGAUAGGGAAGUUGUGUAAACCUUAUCAUUUAGAGGAAGAAGAAGUCGUAACA